CAGCCGCCACGGUAAUACGUAGGGUGCAAGCGUUAAUCGGAAUUACUGGGCGUAAAGCGUGCGCAGGCGGUUCUAUAAGACAGAUGUGAAAUCCCCGGGCUCAACCUGGGGACUGCAUUUGUGACUGUAGAGCUGGAGUGCGGCAGAGGGGGAUGGAAUUCCGCGUGUAGCAGUGAAAUGCGUAGAUAUGCGGAGGAACACCGAUGGCGAAGGCAAUCCCCUGGGCCUGCACUGACGCUCAUGCACGAAAGCGUGGGGAGCAAACAGGAUUAGAUACCCCCGUAGUCCCUGUCUCUUAUAC
rnacentral:rRNA from 1 species